rnacentral:ribozyme from 1 species
UGCCCAGCAACUCCUAUCCCUACCUCCUCGUGGUACUGGCCAGGGUAACCAACCCUGGUGGAAACUUCGAUCGUAUACUAACAGGGAAGG